rnacentral:misc_RNA from 1 species
CUGCACUGAGCUAGAUUGCUCUGAGAACUUCUGUAAGAACGAUAGAACGGCUGCAUCUUUUGCAGCUGCUAUUGAUCUUUCCUGCAUUAACAGCUCCCGUUCUCUCUUAAUCCUAUCCAAUUCUUGCAUCUUCCACGCUUCCUCUCUCGCCAUUCUAUCUUGUUCACACUUCUCUAUUGCAUCUAGAAACUUCCUUUGCAAAUUCUCUUGCUUCUCAAUCACUUCCUUCAUCAACCUCUCAAAAAACUCCGUCAAUUUCCUUUUCUUCUUUCUUGUUCCUUCUGACUCUUCAGUUGAAGUAGACGCGGUUGAAGUAGAAUGGUUAUCAACAAAAUUUAUACUAGGGCUUUGGAUAGAACUUGGAAUAAUGUUGGUAUUAAGAUUUACUGGGCUUACUGUGACUGCAGCCAUGGAAGAGUGAACUUUAUCUGGGGAUGGAGAUGACAACAAUACUUGGUUGUUGCUGUUGUCUAGCGCUUCUAAUUGCUCAAAAAACCUAUAUGUCUUGCCAUUUGACUUGCCGGAUCUACCUUCUUUUGUUCUUCUAUGGUACUUGUAAAUAUUCUCAAACUUCUCCUUGCAUUUCUUGGCACUUCGGUUAUAUCCUAGCUCACUUAAUAACCUAAUAGCAACAAUUACAAUAAAAAAAAAAUAACUAUUCCAUAGAUUCACUUCAAUUAUUUAACUUUGAAUUAACCAAUUAGCAAUAUCUAACACAAUUAAAUAACAAAUCAAGACAUAUAAGUACAAGUUAUGAGACCCAUUUGACACAAACACACCAAAAGUUAAUGACGAACUCAGUGCAUACAAACUGAACAAAACAGAAAAAAACGUUAAUUUGCCGGUAGUUUUCAAGUAGGUAAGUGUUAUUUUCCCCAAAAAUUGAUCAUAAAGGUGGGAAUUGAUGGAAGCAAGUCAGUCUCAAACAUUUACAUGGAAACCUAACAAUAAAUGAUAUAAAAAAAAAAAAAAGAGAGAGAGUGCAGCCAUGGGUUUUAUUACUCCUACUCCAAGACGUCUGAUAGUGAACCACCAUAGGGCAAGAGUAUGGUUCUUGUUGAAUUUUAUAUUUUUUGAAGACAGAAGGAUUGUAUUUAGCUUCUUUGAUUGCUCAUACAAGACGCUGACUACCAUUGAAGUAAUUAAUAACUAUUGUUUGUUAUUGCUGUCAUGGUUCUUACAAGUGUUGCUUGAUCUUAUUGACAAGCCUUUGAUGUACCUUGGCUAUGUGGUUGAGUUCUAUCUCAACUUGCUUUCUCAAAAUGGUGGCUUCCUUGGCCUUUUCAUGAGCAUUUUUCUUGGAAAACUGAAGAAACCAGAAAGAGGCACAGAAAAUUUUUUAAGUACCAUUGGAGGGUUGGAUCCAAGAGUCGAUCUGCGCGUGACUGGAUCAUUUACAAAACAGCUAAAUGAAAAAGCUAUUGCAGAGGUAAUCACAGAAACGGUUAAUAGAGAUCUCAUGGAUCUAUGUGUCAUGGCAGCUAAGCUAGCUUAUGAAAAUGCCAGAGUAGUGGAAAAUGUUGUGAAUAGUUGUUGGAAGAUGAAUUUUGUGGGUUACUACAACUGUUGGAAUGGUAGAAGAAUUUGGAAUGGUACGAUAACAGGAGUUUUUUUUUAGUGUAACUAUUAUUGUUAUUGCUGUUGUUAUAUAAUGAAAUAGUUCUUGUUUUACAUCCAUCGAGUAUAAGGUAAGAGUGUUAAAUAUAAAAAAUUUGAAUAAUUAUCUCUAUUUUUUGAAAUUGAGUUAAGUCUGAUUUAUUUUUUUUUUGUCUCGAUAUUGGGUCACCUGUACUUAUUCAAUCCUGCAAACUUCAUGUUCUAAUUGUCUAUGCUGAGGCAUAAGGAGCGUGUGUUGUCCUACAUCAAUUGGGUAUAAAGAUUUAGGAAUCCUUCUCCUUAAGCUAGUUUUUGGAAUAAGCUAGCUAGGCUCAGUUAUUUUCUUUACGAUAAUAAUUUUAUUUAAAACUAUACUUUUUCGAUCAAUAUAUUAGUGUACCUGGAGAAUUACAAUUAGAGUCAAACUUAAGAAACCUAUUCUUAUUAUUUUAGUUUCAUUCUUUUGAUCAAAUUUUCCGAAAACUGUUUGAUAGAAAAACGAAAGGCAUGCAACACCCAAGCGUUCAUAUUGUCUGACAAGCCCAGAGAUGCAAACUUGAUAGUGAUCAGCUUCAGAGGCUCAGAACCUUUCGAUUCACAAGAUUGGAUGACUAGUAUUGAUUUCUCCUGGUUUGAGGUUCCAAACGUGGGAAAACUUCAUGUUGGAUACUUAGAAUGUAUGGGUAUAGGCACCAGAAGUGAUGCUUCAAGCUUCGAAAGUCACCUUCAAAAGAGGGAUAAAAAUUUCUUCCAAUUAGAUGCUGAGAGUGAGAAGGAAUCGUUGAGAAAAGCAAACAAGAGUGCAUACUAUCUAGUGGCGAUCAAGCUCAGCAACUUACUGAAGGAGAACCCGAAUGCAAAAUUUGUGGUGACAGGACAUAGCUUAGGUGGGGCACUUGCUAUAAUAUUCCCAACCCUGUUGGCAAUCCAAGAUGAGGUUGAGAUGCUGCAAAGGCUGCUAGGUGUUUACACAUUUGGACAGCCAAGAAUCGGAGAUGUGCAGUUAGGAAAGUUCAUGGAACCCCAUUUGCAUAAUCCUGUUGCCAAGUACUUCAGGGUGGUCUAUUCAGAUGAUAUCGUGCCUAGGCUGCCUUUUAACGACAAAGCCUUCCAUUAUAAGCAUUUCGGAGAAUGCAUUUACUAUGACAGACAAUACCUUGGCCAGUUUAAAGAAGAUGUGCCAAACCCAAAUUACUUUGAUAUGAAAUAUAUAUUCCCAAUGCGCCUUAGAGCCGUACUGGAGUUGAUGAGAAGUCUUAAAGAGGACUUCACUCCUGGGUCAGAAUACAAGGAGACUACGCUUUGCAAAGGCUUGAGGCUAAUGGGAUUGCUGCUUCCUGGAAUUGCUUCACACAACCCUGUAAAUUAUGUUAACUGCGUCAGACUUGGAAGGGAGAAGGCUGCUCGAUUGACCUCAAUUACCCUUUCAUGAGAUUAUCUAUGAGGCUAUAUAAUAUAUAAUGUGAACUUCUGAGAGCUUCAGGGUUUAUAAUUAGGUCCCAGCUGCUGGAUGUAGCCCUUUGUUGUGACUCUUGAGUUUUUUAUUUUAUGUUUUAUCUUUGAAAAUGUGUCAGCAUAAUAAUCUCAAAUAAACUCAAUAGUUAUCGUAGUGUGGUGGUAUGCAAUGUAUAAUUUAAUAUAAAAUAGAAAAGAAAAUCUGCAAUUACUAUAUAAAUUAGUCGUUUUGUUCAUGCAUCGUAUAAUUUAUUUAUUUUUUUCUAUUUUGAUAGCACAAUUU